AUGCAGUCAAUUUUACAACUUCAAUACAGCUGGAAAACACUCUGUUAAUUCUCUCUGCCUUCUCUUCUUCCCUCGCACUCUCGCUUCUCUCAUCCUUUCACUUCCUCACUUCCUCUCUCCUUAACCUCUACACCUCCUUCUCUCUCAUCCUGCCUUUCUAUUCCUCUUCCAUCCAGUCUUCUCUCACCCUCCUCUAGCUUCUCUCUCUCUCUCUCUCUCUCUCUCUCUCUCUCUCUCUCCUUCUCACUCUCUCUUUCCUCCUUUGGAUUUCAAAUCAUGAUCCUCUCUGCUGCAAAGAAAACUCCACCUACUCAGCGCUGCUAAUGUAGUCACUGACAGUGCAAGCGUUCUUCCUCCCUCGCUCUUUCCUGCUCUCUGUUGCGCUCUCUCCUGCUUCUCUCUCUCCUGCUCACACUCUCGCUUUCCCUCGUUCUCUCCUACUCCCCUCCUCUCACUCCCUCUCUCGCCUUUUCCCUGUUCUCUCUCGCACACACACUCUCUCACACACACAAACAAACACACUCUCUCUCUCAUAGCUCCAGUCCCAAAUAAAUAAAGAGGCACAGAAGGAUGUGGGGGAAAGAGAGAGGUUGCUGCUUUAGCAAGAACAAUGUUGAUGCAACCCAACCUUCUUAAUCUCCUACCUGCUUUGGAAAACGUGUGAGGAUUAAAGGCGCGUGGCGGUGUUCACACUGGGAUUUCUACAUCACAAAAAGAUGCUCAGUUCUCCCUCUCCUGCCCAAGCCACAGAAAAGGGGACUACUGUUGAGCACUUGUAUCCUCCUGUUUCAGUUCUACCUGCCUAACAGUCAGCCCUGCACAGCCACCGGAGGCAAUGACAGCCUUGCUGCUCUAGAGCCCCAUGGAGCACAGUCCGCUGCUGGAUUCCAUGCUUUUGUAGAUAUACAUUAGAAGGAAUUCCUUCUUAGAAGCCAAACCGAGAGAAAAGAAACACUGGCUGCUCAUCAGCUCUAUGGUUUUCUGACUUGUCCAAGACUGUGAUUUUUGGCAUCUGACUAAGAGGCAAGGCAACCACCAUCUCCAUCAUUGCUAGCUGUCAGGCAGGCGAACAGAAAAUGCCAUGGGCACUAUCUGAUGUGUGGAGACAUUUCACUGCAGCUAAUGUAGAAGGAAAAGCUGUGUACAUUUGCCAAUACUGUGCCAAAUCAUAUGUGAAGACUGCAACAAAGAUGUAGAAUCAUCUGGCCAAGUGCAUAAAGUUCCCUGGUCGCUCACAACAAGCAACCACUGACAAAAGUCCCUCUACUUCUAUUCGAGGUGAAAAUGAUGAAUCAGAAACCUUAUCGAUAGCAACAGCUCAUGGUCCUCCUGGAAUCAGGAGUUUUUUUGACUCAAUGGAGGAACGUGGUCAGAGAAAUGCUGAUGAAUGUCUUUCUCAAGCUGUGUAUGCAACUGGUUAACCUCUGAUGCUCACAGGCAAUGUGAAUUGGAAGAGAUUUAUGAAUGUUCUUCGCCCAGCAUACACCCCUCCAACCAGACAUGCUUUAUCUACUCAUUUACUGGAUGCAGAGCUCAACAGAGUUCAAGUGAAGGUCAAGCAAAUCAUAGAGAAAGCAGGCUGUAUUGUAAUCAUCUCUGAUGGGUGGUCUAAUGUUCGUGGGCAAGGAAUAAUUAACUACAUCAUGCCCACCCCUCAACCAGUAUUCUACAAGAGCACAGACACAAGGGACAACAGACACACCGGUCUCUACAUUGCAGAUGAGCUGAAGGCAGUCAUCAGUGACCUUGGACCACAGAAAUAAUUUGCACUGGUGACAGACAAUGCUGCAAACAUGAAGGCUGCUUGUUCUAAAGUGGAGGAGUCCUACCCUCACAACACACCCAUUAGCUGUGGUUCUCAUGCAUUGAAUCGGCUCCUCAAGGAUAUCAUGGCACUGAAAACAAUGGAUACACUCCACAAGAGAGCCAAGGAAAUGGUUAGGUAUGUGAAGGGUCAUCAAGUUAUAGCAGCAAUCUACCUUACCAAGCACAGUGAGAAGAAUAAGACCACCACAUUGAAGCUGCCCAGCAACACCCAUUGGGGUGGUGUUGUCAUCAAGUUUGACAGUCUCCUGGAGGGGAAGGAGUCUCUCCAAAAAAUGGCCAUAUCACAGUCUGCCGAUAUGGACAGCCCCAUCAAGAGGAUCCUCCUGGAUGUAUUUUGGGAGAGAGUAGGCAGCCUGAAACUCCUGAAACCUAUAGCAGUAGCCAUUGCACAGAUUGAGGGAGACAAUGCCAUCCUGUCUGAUGUUCAGACUCUGCUGGCAGAUGUAAGAGAAUAAAUCCGUACUGCCCUGCCCACUUCACUGUUGCUCCAAGCAGAGGAAACUGCAGUUCUGAAAUACAUUAAAAGCGUGAAGACUUCUGCCUGAAGCCCAUACAUGCCGCAGCGUACACGUUGGACCCCAAGUAUGCUGGCAAGAGCAUCCUGUCUGGUGCAGAGAUCAACAAGGCCUAUGGUGUGAUCACUACCGUGUCUCGCCACCUUGGCCUGGAUGAGGGCAAGGUUUUUGGCAGUCUGGCGAAGUACACUUCCAAGCAAGGGCUUUGGGAUGGAGAUGCAAUAUGGCAGUUUUGCCAACAUAUCUCAUCAGCCACCUGGUGGAAGGGACUUUGUGGAUCUGAGGCUCUUUCCCCUGUUGCCUCCAUCAUCCUCCAAAUCCCACCAAAAUCAGCCGCCUCAGAGUGCAACUGGUCCUUGUUUGGGAACACACAUACCAAAGCAUGCAACAGGCUGACCAAUUCAAGGGUUGAAAAAUUGGUGGCCAUCAGGGCAAAUUUGAUGCUUUUUCAGCCUGACAACGAGCCAUCCUCAACAAGGUUGGAAAGUGACAGUGAAUAUAAGGCCUCAGAGUCUGAUGUUCAAGAGGUGGACAUUGAGGAGGUCCAGGGAGAAGACAUGGAAGCCUGAGAGGAAGACAACUAAAGCUUUAGUUUCUCGACUAUGUUGAAAAGUUUUUGGGAGAUGCGAUGGAUCAUUGGGGAUCAUUCAAUAUUCUCUUUCUUUUGUUGUUCAGUUAAAUCAUCCCAUGUGAAGAGUAAACUCAUUUAAUUAAACUUCAAUUCAUAACUAAAUCUUUUUUUUUAUUUCUAUUGGAAGGAUUUAAUAAUUUGCAAUUAUGUCUACAUAUGACAAGGUAAAAGGUUUAUGUUUCUGUCUCCAUAUGAUAUGGUAAAUAUAUCCAAUGCAAAAAACAUCUACAUAUAAAUGGUAUUAAUAUUAAUUUGCAUAUAUUUCCGUUAAUUCCCAUAUAUUCCCUAUGAAAUCCCAUAUAUUCCUGUUAAUUCCCACGGAAAGUUUCCACCUCUGAAUAUUCCCCAAAAUGUGCAACCCUAGUUGUCUUAUAGCCUCAAUUCAAAAUUGAUUAAAUCGGUGUUGUUCUCUCAGCCAUUUACACGCAAUACCCCAAAAUGACAAAGAAAACAUGUUUUUAGAAAUUUUUGCACAUUUAUUGAAAAUGAAAUACAGAAAUAUCUCAUUCACAUAAAUAUGCACACCCCAGAGUCAAUACAUGUUAGAAUCACCUUUGGUAGCAAUUACAGCUGUGAGUCUUGCUGGUAAAGUCUCUAAGAGCUUUGCACACCUGGAUGGUACAAAAUUAGCCAUUUCCAAGUCUUGCCAUAGAUUAAUGUCACAGAAUGUAACAAGGCCACUCAGGAAUAUUCAGUCUUGUCUUGGUAAGCAACUCCAGUGUAUAUUUGGCCUUGUGUUUAAGGCUAUUGUCCUGCUAGAAGGUGAAUUUGUCUCCUGGUGUCUGUUGGAAACAAACAGAACCAGGUUUCCCUCUAGGAUUUUGUUUGUGCUUGGCUCUAUUCCAUUUAUUUUUAUCCCCCAAAACUCCCUUGUCCUUGCCAAUGACAAGCAUACCCAUAACAUGAAGCAGCUACCACCAUGCUUGAAAAUAUGAAGUGGUACUCAAUGAUGUGAUUUUACCCAAAUAGAACGCUUCGUAUUCAGGACAUAAAGUACAUUUCUUUGACACAUUUUUUAGAAGUUUUACUUGUCUUGUUGCAAACAGGAUCCAUGCUUUGGAAUAUGUGUAUUCUGUACAGGCUUCCUUCUUUUCACUCUGCCAAUUUGGUUAGUUUUCUGGAGUAACUACAAUGUUGUUGAUCCAUCCUCCAUUUUGUCCUAUCACUUCUAUCAUUAGACUGUAAGUGUUUUAAAGUCACCAUUGACCUCAAGGUGAAAUCCCUGAGCAGUUUCCCUCCUCUCUAGCAAAUGGGUUAGGAAGGACGCCUGUAACUUUGUAAUGACUGGAUGUAUUGACACACCAUCCAAAUUCUAUUGGAGGGAUGCGACACCAUUCUUCCACAAGAAAUUCCAUAAUAUGGUGGUUUUUUUAACCUUUAUUUAGCAAGGCAAGUCAGUUAGGAACAAAUUCGUAUUUACAAUGACGGCCUAGGAACAGUGACUUGUUCAGACUGCCUUGUUCAGGGGCAGAACGACAGAUUUUUACCUUGUCAGCUCUAGCCAAUGAGAGAGCAGGUAGCCUAGUGGUUAGAGUGUUGGGCCUGUAACCGAAAGGUUUUGAGAUCAAAUCCCCAAACUAACAAGGUAAAAAUCUGUUUUUCUGCCCCUGUACGAGGCAGUUAACCCACUGUUCCUAGGCCGUCAUUAUAAAUAAGAUUUUUUUUUUAACUGACUUUCCUAGUUAAAUAAAGGUUAAAUAUGAAAUAUAUGCAUGUGAACAACAGGCACAAUGGUUUACACUUGUUAUCUCAGCCACAAUGUCAAAAUGGUCUAUAUUGUAAAAAUCUGCAUUUUUUUAAAUUUAAUUUAAGGUUACGUUUCGGCAUAAGGUUAACAGUGUGGUUAAGGUUAGGUUUAAAUCACUUUUUAAGAAGAGAAAUUGUAGAAAUAGGUGGGGUUUAUGUCUUUGUGGUUGUGGUGAUUAGUGACGAUCAAGCAUAACUCCGAUAUAGUGUUUUUUCUCAGUGAUUCCGGGUUGUCACGUGUCCUACUUAUGUCAGUACACUCGUAACAACCUAAUCAUUACAAAACUUCUAUUCGAUCAAAUAAGACACAUGUAGCAAAUAAGCCAUUCAAUUUUUUGUUAACCAAAUUCGACAUUCUCUCAUUGACCUCUAUAUAUAAACUCCUUGCUUAGUAAAAAAAAAAAAAAAAAAAAAAAGCCACCAGCUGGAGAACACAGAUUUUGGUCCCAGUUAACCCUCUCACUUCGCCUCUUCCUGUCUGUUUUUAUACAUGAACCUAAGCAUGAUGGGAUGUUAAUUGCUUAAUUAACUCAGGAACCACAUGUGUGGAAGCACCUGCUUUCAAUAUACUUUAGCCCUCAUUUACUGAAGUGUCUCCAUUAUUUUGGCAAUUACCUGUAUGAUCUUCUGCACUUUGUUUGACUUUCUAUACGCCUUUCACAUGGCAACGUCAUGCCAGAGACUGCUGGUUUGUGUUGGUUUCAGCUGUCCUUUGAAAAGCAUGAGCUGGCACACACCCCAAAAAGUUAGUAAAGGUGCUGACUAAAGGCGAGUAAACUGUAGGCUAUAAAAAAAAAAAUAGUCACACACUUUAUAUAUAAGCUCCCAAUAAUAUAUUGGGUAAACCAAUGUGUCCUUUGGCCACAGUUUUAGCCUGUCUCUCAAUAUCUCGCUCUCUCUCCCUAUCUCUACCCUCUUUCUCUCUCCCUCCCCCCCUUUCUCUCUGUUCCUCUGUUCCUCUGCCUCUAGCCCCUGGGGUUCCAGUUAGCUCUGCAAACUGUCACUUGAAAGUAGCUCUGGCGCUGACAGAUUGAUUUCUUUCCCUCAAAAGUUUACGUCUCUGCAGAUCUAUAAAUACACACGGCCUAAUAUUGAGUUCCAUUUUGAUGGACAAUAGUGCCAAAAUUGAUUGCUAAUAUGUUUUGAAUGCAGUCAGCCCGAUUCUUUACGGGGUGAGACUAUUUACCCGUUAUAAUAGCACUCAAUCAAAAGUCAAGCCAAGGUUGAUCUGGCAUCAGCAUUAUGCCAUUAUUAUUAAACCUACACAGCACUAAGGUCUAAUAUGCUGAAACAAACACCCCGUGCAUAUCGGAAAUAUGAAGCCAACAAUUGGUAUUAAACAAAUGCAAAGCUAAACUGGAGCUUUUAGUGUGUGUUUAGAGAGUUUGUUUGGCUAAUAACUUCUCAAAUAAUAUUUUUCCAGAUCCAUCCACUGACACCUUGUCAUGUAUAGUAGUCCACACAUGGGAUUCAUGUGUAUAUAAUCCCCCCUUCCAUUUCAAACACACACAGAAUAAGAGCAUGAACAGUGGUGGACUUACAAUUAGGAAGAAGAGGAAAUUGCCUCAGGUCUCACAUCAUCAGGGGCCUGGUAAACUGGGCAUAAUAAUAAAGUAUAUAUAUUAGUAAUAAAUAAUAAGACAAUAAUUUCUCCGCUCGAGGCCACCCAUUCUUUGCUUGAGGCUCAGCUCAGCUCACUGCUCUUUUCCGGUCUUGCUUCAGCAGGUUGGUUCAGCAGCAGCAAAAUCUGCAGAUAGCUUCAAAGUUGCAAAGGAAAUAUAUGUAAACAUACACUACCGUUCAACAGUUUGGGGUCACUUAGAAAUGUCCUUCUUUUUGAAAGAAAAACACAUUUUUGGUCCAUUAAAAUAACAUCAAAUUGAUCAGAAAUACAGUGAAGACAUUGUGAAUGUUGUAAAUCACUUUUGCAGCUGGAAACGGCAGAUUUUUUAUGAAAUAUCUACAUAGGCGUACAGAGGCCCAUUAUCAGCAACCAUCACUCCUGUGUUCCAAUGGCACGUUGUGUUAGCUAAUCCAGGUUUAUAAUUUUAAAAGACUAAUUGAUCAUUAGAAAACCCUUUUGCAAUUAUGUUAGCAUAGCUGAAAACUGUUGUCCUGACUAAAGAAGUAAUAAAACUGACCUUCAUAAACUAGUUGAGUAUCUGGAGCAUCAGAAUUUGUGGGUUCAAUUACAGGCUCAAAAUGGCUAGAAACAAAGAACUUUCUUCUGAAACUCAUCAGUCUAUUCUUGUUCUGAGAACUGAAGUCUAUUCCAUGCGAGAAAUUGCCAAGAAACUGAAGAUCUCGUACAACGCUGUGUACUACUCCCUUCACAGAACAGCGCAAACUGUCUCUAACCAGAAUUGAAAGAGGAGUAGGAGGCCCCUGUGCACAACUGAGCAAGAGGACAAGUACAGUUAGUUUGAGAAACAGACACCUCACAAGUCCUCAACUGGCAGCUUCAUUAAAUAAUACCCGCAAAACACCAGUCUCAAGGUCAACAGUGAAGAGGCGACUCCGGGAUGCUGGCCUAGUGUAUAUUUCAUAUCAAUAUUAAUAUAAUCCACGUUUUUCUUACAGUAGUAGAAACAAGUGUACUUAAUAACCCUGAAAGAGUUCCUGUGCAUUGUUUCACACGAUAUGAUUGUAAAUAUGACUUUCAUUGAAAGUUACGCUGCUGCAAUGAAGUUCUUUCAGAGCGGGGCAAAGAAAAUAAAAACAGGCAGAAGAUUUGAACAGAAAAAUUACUUAAGUUAACACAUUUCUUUAGUAUCAAGACUGUUAAUACUGCCAUCGUCGUCGAGGCAAAGGACACGACGACAACGAGGCCAGAGAUAGGCCCAGGCCUAGCUAGCGCUUCAACAACCACUAGCAUUAGCCUAGCUAUAACUUAAACCAGUUGCAUUACUGACUCUGCUGCUGUUGGUGGCUCAUCAUCAUCAGUACCAGCUAGCACUAGCAGCAGCGCCGCGGUUACUAAUGUCAAACCAGAGAGAGAGCUCUACGAGGAUUAUGCCCUCACACUGCCUUCCUAGAGUUCAACUACCCCACUGAUCUGCUGCCUCUGCUAACUGACUAAGGUGAGUAUUCAUUCAUCCCACCUCAUCCUGUCUUUGAAUGGUUCUCUCCCUCCUCCACUAAAAUAUUAAAACUCCACACUUUAGCUUACACACACACACACACACACACACACACACACACACACGCACACACACGCACACACACGCACACACACGCGCGCACGCGCACACACCAUUUAAACAUCAGUUGUGUCCCAGCAGCGCUUGGGGUUUCUCAGACUAAUGGAAUCUGGUCUCCACACACACUGGCACAUUAACAGUUACACAGACAUUCAUUUAGAGACAACUUUAAGUCCUGCUGGAGGGUGUGUGUGUAUGUGAGUGUAUGUUGGGGCAGGGUCUGACAACAAAGAGACAGGUGCUAUUACCCUAUGGGCAGCACAUCAGCAGGUAGACAUGUGUCUGUGUGCAUAGUCACUUUAACUAUACAAUCAUGUACAUACUACCUCAAUUGGGCCGACCAAACCAGUGCUCCCGCACAUUGGCUAACCGGGCUAUCUGCAUUGUGUCCCACCCACCACCCGCCAACCCCUCUUUUACGCCACUGCUACUCUCUGUUCAUCAUAUAUGCAUAGUCACUUUAACCAUAUCUACAUGUACAUACUACCUCAAUCAGCCUAACUAACCAGUGUCUGUAUGUGGCCCCGCUACUUUUAUAGCCUCGCUACUGUAUAUAGUAUAUCUUUUUACUGUUGUUUUAUUUCUUUACCUACCUAUUGUUCACCUAAUACCUUUUUUGCACUAUUGGUUAGAGCCUGUAAGUAAGCAUUUCACUGUAAGGUCUACACCUGUUGUAUUCGGCGCACGUGAUAAAUAAAGUUUGAUUUGAUUUGAGAAUAUGACCCAUGAUAAUUGUUUGGAUGACGAUUGGACAACAUUUGCCCAAAACUGUCUGCUGAUGUGGUAUAUACUUACAAUUAUACCACACUGUUCUAUUGCUCCCUUCAGAAGGUCAUGUUGGCAGGAUAAUGUUGACAGGCAUGUGCGUGUUGCGUUAAUCUUAAUGUGAUAGAACAUUUUGGGACCUUGAUAAUCAAAUUCAUUAACAUAUUUUUCCACGUGAGACAUCUAUGUUGUUUGCCUUCUCUUGCUGAGACCACUUUUAGCUACAGUUGUAUGAAGCUUUUGAUUGGCCACCAGCCUGUGUUUUGUCAAACUAUACAAAUCCCUCGGGCUCUGGUGCCUUUUCACAAAAUCUCCAGGGACAAAAAUCCCAUUUUAAAGGAAUUGUUUUGUCUAUGGCCUUCAGGAAACAGUUAGGCUAUUAUAAAAUGACAGAGCAUUAAGAACAGAGUUGGCUGCCAACCACCAUAAUCGACUUAUACGAUUGUGUGUGUGUGUGUGCGUGCGUGCGUG
rnacentral:lncRNA from 1 species